ensembl:lncRNA
GCCAGAAGAGGGUGUGGGGUCUGGGGCUCUGGGACUAGGGACAGGUUUUGGGGUAAAGGAGCCUGGGGUGGAGAUGGACCCAAGCUCUCCUGGGGCGGGGAGUGGGUCCCCCCAGAUGGGGGACAGGUUUCUGGGAGACAGUAGCAUAUGGACAUUGGGCAUCGUUUUCUCCCUUUAUGGAUGGGGAGACCAAGGCCCAGAGGAAGGGAGUCACAUGGCAGGUGAGAGGCAGUCUCCCAGUUUCCCAGCCCAGUGCUGUCCCCCAGUCCCCCAGUGGCUCCUCUGGGGCCCUCACCCUCUGUCCAUCCACUACCGGUUCCAGAGCUGUGGUCUCCUGGAGCUGAGGGUCAGGCAGGUGCUUUUCCUUUCUAGAAAGGCUCAUGGCCACGCCCCCAGAGCGUGGAACUGUGAUUCAUCAUGGGCGGCUGUGGGGGACUCUCUGCCCCCUGAUGCCAGCACCCAGGAGAAGUGGGAGGUCCUGGUCAUAGGGGAGGUGCAGGCAUGGGACGGUCCACCAGCCCCCUUCAAGUGUCUUCCAAGUAGCCUGGGAGCUGUCGAUGGGGUCUGAGGAGAACGGCUGGGCCAGCGGCCUCCGCAUCUCAGGUGCAGGCCUCCACACCCUGGCCCCCCAGCCUCUCUGGGCCUCCAAGACCCCUCCUCAUCCCAGAAGGGCAGGAGUGAACUGUGAUACCUGAGAGCAGCCGGGGGGUGGAGUCCACUGGGGGCCUUCCUGCCUCUGCCCCUACAUCCUGGCCUCCCACCUGCCAGAGCCCUGCUGUGGGCUCUCUGGGCAGCAUCUCAGCCUGCCCAGCGGAAGGAGGACCUUCUGGGGUUUUUCCACUCACACCCUCUUGGCUGCCUAUCCCCACCUUACCCACUGGUCUGAGAGGCCCCCAUGUUUCCAUGGAAAUGGCCGCUCCUCCCAUGUUGACCCCCACCCAACAUCGAACAAAGCACAAACAGUGAGCACCCCCAUACCCCUACUGGGAAGGAGCAGGCUGGGUUCCUGGGGCCCCUCCCCCUCCCUGGCCUGCCUCUGUCGCCAUGGCAACCCAGAGCCUGGCAGUUGGGACCGUUGGGCUUCUGGGGGUUCUCUCUCAGUCAGUGUGGGUGGCAGAGGGCGGUGAGGGAGGGCAGGGCCAGAUGGGGUGGCUGCCUUUCUCAAGAGCUGGAGGCUUCCUGGGGUCAGCUCUAAGGGGCGGAUCUGGGGUCCUGAGACUAUCUUGGAGACUGUCUUGAACACUGUCAGGGUGCUGAGGGGCCGGAGUCAGCUCCCCUGCACCUGUGGAUGAGAGCUCUGAACCACCCUUGCUCCUUCUCAGGGUCAAAAGAUCCACCUGGUCUCUCUGGACAGGCACGGAACUCAGGCUUCAUCCAGUGACCUCAGGCUGAGCUGCCAAAUCUUGGAUUGGGAAGAGUGAGUGGGGGAGCCUGAAGCCCAGCUCCAAGCCCUAGCCUCUCUGUCUCCCCAGUAGACAGAGCUCCUCCCCCUCUCUUCCCAGACCUCUGCUAUCCAACUGCUGCAACCCCCUGCCUCUGGGCAGCCCCUGGAUUCAGCCUGGGUUGCUAUAAGGGAACUUGGCCUCCCUGACUCUGAGCUCUUACUCAGAAGUGAGGCCACGCACAGGUAUAUUCAGCAGCCCCACCAAGGGUCAGUGUUCCCUGUGGCCCUCCUGGCUCCUGGCCCGUGGACCUUUCCUGUGGACUUUUGCCUCCCUGGGAGUUGGUGUGGAUUGGAGAGGCGAGGUUAGGAGGGACUCCCCAGAAAGACCCAGGCUGGAGCCCCUGCUUGUAUCCUGUCUCCUCCAAAGCUGCCCUUAAGCCCCCUCUGUGCUGCUGUCCCAAGGUGGCCACAGCCUGGUCCCAGUCACCCUGUUUACUGACUCCCCAAGCAGCUGUGAAAAGUGAUGAAGGGAGACCUCACUGAAAACCUCACUAAACCUCACUUCUGCUCACAUGGGAGAGCAGAAGGGGGAAUGCUUAGGCAUGUACCAUUAGCUAUCAAUACUGAUCCCAACAGAAAGAGAUAAACCCUGCUUUUCCGGCAGGAAGUGACACUACCUUAGCACAGCCAGCAGGAGGAAGAUUUUCUCCUGGCUUGAAAGUGAAAGUGAAGUCGCUCAGCCGUGCCUGACUCUGCGACCCCAUGGACAGUAGCCUGUACCAAGCUCCUCCAUCCAUGGGAUUUUCUAGGCAAGAGUACAGGAGGGGGUUGCCGUUUCCUUCUCCUGGGAAUCUUCUCGACCCAGGGAUCGAACCCAGGUCUUCUGCAUUGCAGACAGACGCUUCACCAUCUGAGCCACCAAGGAAGUCCCUGGCUUGGCAACAGCUAAGUGUCACAUCUCAGCCAGAGUAAAGCAGUUUUCUCCAGUGGACUUUUUGUUUAUAACCGCCCCUCCCACGUCCCCUUCUCUAUAAAAGAGUUUCCUCUCCUUCACUUUCUUGGAAUUUACAAGUAUUUCACCAUAGUUACAUGUCCCCAAGUUGUAAUUCUUUGCUUCUCCCACAUAAACCCAUUUUGCUGGUAGAAUAACUGGCUGUUUUAUUAUUUUAGGUUAAUAUAGCCCAUGUCUUGUUUCCUAAGGGAAGGUUCACUAUGAACUUGCACCAUGGGAGGAGGAGGAGGAGAAGGGCCAGGCUUGCAGGGCUGGGAGUGGUCAGAGGAACAGGUGUUAGAAUCUCACAAGCUCUGUUUGCUCAGGCCUACAGCUGGGGUUGCUCCGAGGUCCCCCAGCCUGGGUCAGUUUCAGGGUGCCCUGCCCAGCUGCCUUCCCUCUUGCCCUUCCCUGCUGUCAUUGUGAGGAUGGGGGAGGGGUGUGUGUGUCUACAAACCUAUUCUCCAGGAAGGACCUGGAAUGAAGUCCUCAGGAAAAGAGGCUCUUAGAAGGGCCAUGUACACACUGUAAGGCCAGCAGCUAGGACCUGGGUCUGUGCUUCUCUUAGGCCCCAACCCUUCCAGGACUUUCUUUCAACCUGAGGAUUACCUUUCCAGGUCACAUGAAG